GAUGAACGCUAGCUACAGGCUUAACACAUGCAAGUCGAGGGGCAGCAUGUCGGUUGCUUGCAACCGAUGAUGGCGACCGGCGCACGGGUGAGUAACGCGUAUCCAACCCGCCUCUUACCAGGGAAUAACCCGUCGAAAGGCGGACUAAUGCCCUAUGCCCUCCGCGGCAGACAUCUAAUGCGGAGGAAAGAUUCAUCGGUAAGUGAUGGGGAUGCGUCUGAUUAGCUUGUUGGCGGGGUAACGGCCCACCAAGGCAACGAUCAGUAGGGGUUCUGAGAGGAAGGUCCCCCACAUUGGAACUGAGACACGGUCCAAACUCCUACGGGAGGCAGCAGUGAGGAAUAUUGGUCAAUGGGCGGAAGCCUGAACCAGCCAAGUAGCGUGCAGGACGACUGCCCUAUGGGUUGUAAACUGCUUUUAUGCGGGGAUAAAUGACACUACGUGUAGUGUUUUGCAGGUACCGCAUGAAUAAGGACCGGCUAAUUCCGUGCCAGCCGCCGCGGUAAAAC
rnacentral:rRNA from 1 species